UACGUAGGGCGCAAGCGUUAUCCGGAUUAUUGGGCGUAAAGAGCUCGUAGGCGGUUUGUCGCGUCUGCCGUGAAAGUCCGGGGCUCAACUCCGGAUCUGCGGUGGGUACGGGCAGACUAGAGUGAUGUAGGGGAGACUGGAAUUCCUGGUGUAGCGGUGAAAUGCGCAGAUAUCAGGAGGAACACCGAUGGCGAAGGCAGGUCUCUGGGCAUUAACUGACGCUGAGGAGCGAAAGCAUGGGGAGCGAACAGG
rnacentral:rRNA from 1 species